rnacentral:rRNA from 1 species
GGGGGGUAGAAUUUCAGGUGUAGCGGUGAAAUGCGUAGAGAUCUGAAGGAAUACCGGUGGCGAAGGCGGCCCCCUGGACAGAUACUGACACUCAGAUGCGAAAGCGUGGGGAGCAAACAGGAUUAGAUACCCUGGUAGUCCACGCCGUAAACGAUGUCUACUUGGAGGUUGUGGCCUUGAGCCGUGGCUUUCGGAGCUAACGCGUUAAGUAGACCGCCUGGGGAGUACGGUCGCAAGAUUAAAACUCAAAUGAAUUGACGGGGG